GUGAGUACAGCGGCGGACGGGUGAGUAACGCGUAGGAAUCUACCUAGUAGUGGGGGACAACUCGGGGAAACUCGAGCUAAUACCGCAUACGCCCUAAGGGGGAAAGCGGGGGAUCUUCGGACCUCGUGCUAUUGGAUGAGCCUGCGUAAGAUUAGCUAGUUGGUGGGGUAAAGGCCUACCAAGGCGACGAUCUUUAGCUGGUCUGAGAGGAUGAUCAGCCACACUGGGACUGAGACACGGCCCAGACUCC
rnacentral:rRNA from 1 species